rnacentral:rRNA from 1 species
GGGGAAUAUUGGGCAAUGGACGCAAGUCUGACCCAGCAACGCCGCGUGAAGGAAGAAGGCUUUCGGGUUGUAAACUUCUUUUAAGGGGGAAGAGUAGAAGACGGUACCCCUUGAAUAAGCCACGGCUAACUACGUGCCAGCAGCCGCGGUAAUACGUAGGUGGCAAGCGUUGUCCGGAUUUACUGGGUGUAAAGGGCGUGUAGCCGGGAAGGCAAGUCAGAUGUGAAAUCUGGAGGCUCAACCUCCAAACUGCAUUUGAAACUGCUUUUCUUGAGUGUCGGAGAGGAAAGUGGAAUUCCAAGUGUAGCGGUGAAAUGCGUAGAGAUUUGGAGGAACAACAGUGGCGAAGGCGACUUUCUGGUCUGCAACUGACGCUGAGGCGCGAAAGCAUGGGGAGCAAACA